rnacentral:rRNA from 1 species
GUUUGAUCCUGGCUCAGAGCGAACGUUAGCGGCGCGCCUAACACAUGCAAGUCGCACGAGAAAGGGGCAACCCCGGUACAGUGGCGCACGGGUGAGUAACACGUGGAUUACCUGCCCUGGAGUGGUGGAUAACCUGCCGAAAGGUGGGCUAAUACAGCAUGAGACCACGCGGUUUCGAUCGUGAGGUCAAAGCGGGCUUCUGUUCACAAGCUCGCGCUCUAGGAUGGGGUCCGCGGCCCAUCAGCUAGUUGGUAGGGUAACGGCCUACCAAGGCAACGACGGGUAGCUGGUCUGAGAGGAUGGCCAGCCACACUGGAACUGAGACACGGUCCAGACUCCUACGGGAGGCAGCAGUGGGGAAUCUUGCGCAAUGGACGAAAAGUCUGACGCAGCGACGCCGCGUGGUGACGAAGGCCUGGUGUAA